ACACCGGCAGCUCUAGUGGUAACAAUUUUUAUUGGGCCUAAAGCGUCCGUAGCCGGUUUAAUAAGUCUCUGGUGAAAUCCUGCAGCUUAACUGUGGGAAUUGCUGGAGAUACUAUUAGACUUGAGACCGGGAGAGGUUAGAGGUACUCCCAGGGUAGAGGUGAAAUUCUGUAAUCCUGGGAGGACCGCCUGUUGCGAAGGCGUCUAACUGGAACGGUUCUGACGGUGAGGGACGAAAGUUAGGGGCGCGAACCGGAUUAGAUACCCGGGUAGUCCUAACUGUAAACGAUGCGGACUUGGUGUUGGGGUGGCUUUGAGCUGCUUCAGUGCCGAAGGGAAGCUGUUAAGUCCGCCGCCUGGGAAGUACGGUCGCAAGACUGAAACUUAAAUGAAUUGGCGGGG
rnacentral:rRNA from 1 species